rnacentral:rRNA from 1 species
ACGCGAAGAACCUUACCUGGGCUCGAACGGCUGCCGACGGUUCGUGGAAACAUGGACUUUCCCGCAAGGGACGCGCAGUCGAGGUGCUGCAUGGCUGUCGUCAACUCGUGUCGUGAGAUGUUGGGUUAAGUCCCGCAACGAGCGCAACCCUUGUCCUGUGUUGCCAUGCCGAAAGGCGGAACUCUCAGGAGACCGCCAGCGAUAAGCUGGAGGAAGGUGGGGAUGACGUCAAGUCAUCAUGGCCUUUAUGUCCAGGGCUACACACGUGCUACAAUGGCCGGUACAAAGCGCUGCUAAAUCGCAAGAUGGAGCUAAUCGCAAAAAGCCGGUCUCAGUUCGGAUUGCAGGCUGCAACCCGCCUGCAUGAAGCUGGAAUCGCUAGUAAUGGCGCAUCAGCAUGGCGCCGUGAAUACGUUCCCGGGCCUUGUACACACCGCCCGUCACAUCACGAAAGUGGGUUGUACUAGAAGUCUGCGUGCUAACCCGCAAGGG